CUACGGGGCGCAGCAGUGGGGAAUAUUGGACAAUGGGGGAAACCCUGAUCCAGCAAUGCCGCGUGUGUGAAGAAGGCCUGCGGGUUGUAAAGCACUUUCGGUUGGGAGGACUGCUUCUAGCACUAAUAUUGUUGGAAGUUGACGUUACCUUCAGAAGAAGCACCGGCUAACUCCGUGCCAGCAGCCGCGGUAAUACGGGAGGGUGCAAGCGUUAAUCGGAAUUACUGGGCGUAAAGCGCGCGUAGGCGGCUAGAUCAGUGGGGUGUGAAAGCCCCGGGCUUAACCUGGGAACUGCAUCCGAUACUGGCUAGCUUGAGUACAGGAGAGGAGAGUGGAAUUCCACAUGUAGCGGUGAAAUGCGUAGAUAUGUGGAGGAACACCAAUGGCGAAGGCAGCUCUCUGGCCUGAUACUGACGCUGAGGUGCGAAAGCGUGGGGAGCAAACAGGAUUAGAUACCCCCGUAGUC
rnacentral:rRNA from 1 species